rnacentral:rRNA from 1 species
UACGAAGGGGGCUAGCGUUGCUCGGAAUCACUGGGCGUAAAGCGCACGUAGGCGGCUUCUUAAGUCAGGGGUGAAAUCCUGGAGCUCAACUCCAGAACUGCCUUUGAUACUGGGAGGCUCGAGUCCGGGAGAGGUGAGUGGAACUGCGAGUGUAGAGGUGAAAUUCGUAGAUAUUCGCAAGAACACCUGUGGCGAAAGCGGCUCACUGGACCAUUACUGACGCUGAGGCACGAAAGCUAGGGGAGCAAACAGG